rnacentral:ncRNA from 1 species
GUUCCAUGGCAACAGCAGUUGGACAUGGGUCAGUCGAUCCUAAGAGAUAGGGAAGCUCCAUUUCAAAGUGCACAAUUCUUCGUGCCGCCUAUCGAAAGGGAAUCUGGUUAAAAUCCCGGAACCAGGAUGUGGAUCUUUAACAGCAACGUAACUGAACUUGGAGACACUGGCAGGGGCCCCAGGAAGAGUUAUCUUUUCUCCUUAACAGCCUAUAACCCUGAAAUCAAUUUGUGCGACAGAGGUACUUGGUUUGUUGACAAAUUCAUCUUGUAUAUAAAACACUGAAUACUCUAGUUUCUAAAGGGAUGACUUGGGGAUGCUACGAGUUGAA